AAAUCUCUGCGAGGUGCGAUACCCUUCAACUUAAUUCAACCGACAAAGAUGACACGGGAAUUUGUGUCUAGUUACCUAUAACAAGCCUCCACUGAGUGGAAGUUAGAAGUAAGUAGCAUUUUACCCACCUGGUAUUAGGGCGGGUCUGAAUUAAAUGGAGGCCGGCCGAGCGGAGUGAUA
rnacentral:other from 1 species